rnacentral:tRNA from 1 species
GCCGACGUAGCUCAAUUGGCAGAGCAUCCGCCUUGUAAGCGGACGGUUGUCGGUUCGAGUCCGACCGUCGGCU